GAGGGUAUAGCUCAGAGCAGAGCAUGGGCUUAGCACGCACGAGGUUCUGGGUUCAAUCCCUAGUACCUCCA
rnacentral:tRNA from 1 species